AAUCAACGCUGGCGGCGUGCCUCAGACAUGCAAGUCGAACGCGAAAGUCCCCUUCGGGGGACGAAGUAGAGUGGCGCACGGGUGAGUAACACGUAGGUAAUCUACCUUUGGAUGGGGAAUAACAACCGGAAACGGUUGCUAAUACCGCAUAAUGCAGCGGCACCUAAUGGUGACAGUUGUUAAAGCGGGGGAUCGAAAGACCUCGCGUCUAAAGAGGAGCCUGCGGCGGAUUAGCUAGUUGGUAAGGAAUGGCUUACCAAGGCCACGAUCCGUAACCGGCCUGAGAGGGCGGUCGGUCACACUGACACUGACAUACGGGUCAGACUCCUACGGGAGGCAGCAGUCGGGAAUUUUGGGCAAUGGGCGAAAGCCUGACCCAGCAACGCCGCGUGAAGGAUGAAAUCCCUCGGGAUGUAAACUUCGCAAGAACGGGAAGAAUAAGUAGGGGACAAUACCCCCUAUGAUGACGGUACCGUUUGUAAGCUCCGGCUAACUCCGUGCCAGCCGCCGCGGUAAU
rnacentral:rRNA from 1 species